rnacentral:tRNA from 1 species
GCCGAGGUAGCCCAGCUUGGUUUAGAGCGCCAGACUCAUAAUCUGGAGGCCGCGUGUUCAAAGCACCGUUUUUGACUUCUAUUAAACUUAUGGGAAAAACGGUUGUCCAAAAACCCUUGAGUAUCGACAAAUAAACUCGAAACUAUGGAUUGGGAUAAUGGAAAUCACGCCCUCGGCA